ensembl:lncRNA
CGCCCACAGCAUAUGGAGGGUCCUAGGCUAGGGGUCUAAUCGUACCUGUGGCUGCUGCCACAGCCACAGCAAUGCAGGAUCCGAGCCACAUAUGGACCUAUACCACAGCUCAUGGCAACGCUGGAUCCUUAACCCACUGAGCGAGGCCAGGGACCGAACCUGCAGCGUCAUGGUUCCUAGUUGGGUUCGUUAACCACUGCGCCACAACAAGAACUCCAAAUUUUGAAUAUCUUAAAAAAAAAAAAAAAUUAAAGCCUAAAAACCUUCAGUGUUCUCAUGCAAUUAUUAUGGCUCUACUUCAAAGAGAGAUAGAUAGUUGGUUUAUUUUAAAAACUGUAAUAAAGCCUGAGGAAGUAUAGCACAGGAAGAGGAUAAGUGCAAUGGUUUGCACAGGAAACCCAAGGAAGAGCUCAAUGGUAGACAGAUGUAUUAUUCAGAGACCAUGAGGCAUGAGUUUUCUUUAUGAACAGAGUAUUAGGCAACUUGGGUUACAAGUAUGAUCCUAAAGUAUCUCCAUAAAAGAAGCAUUGUUUAUAUGGACUUAAAAACUAUUAUUUGAAAAACAAUUUCACAUAUAAAUCAAUAAAAUCAACAUUUACUGAGAACCCAGGUCUGUGUUAAGGCACUGAGGAAUCAAGAACAAACUGGGAAUCCUUGAGGAAUGCAUUUAGUGGGAAAACAGACAAAAAAGGUAACUUCCUUGCUCAAAAAAAAAUUACUUGGAGUUCCCAUCGUGGCACAGCGGAAACAAAUCUAACUAGGAACCACGAGGUUGUAGGUUCAAUCUCUGGCCUUGCUCAUUGGGUUAAGGAUCCAGCGUUGCUGUGAGCUACACAGUUGCAGACACAGCUCAGAUCUGGCAUUGCUGUGGCUCUGGCAUAGGCUGGCAGCUGCAGUUCUGAUUUAACCCCUAGCCUGGGAACCUCCAUGUGCCACAGCCAAGUACAAUUGUGUACUUAGUUCUCAUAUUUUAAGGAGAAAUUUUAAGUUAGCACAUAAACCAUAAAGAAUUUUGGUAUUAAAAUAUAUCUUAAAUUUAUAAUUCAUCAGAUGAAAACUUACUUUGUGAUGGCUUCCUGUAACUUAGUGCCCUCUCUGAUGAAAGUUUUUCCAAAACUGAAAACUUUGUAGGACUGAAAUUCAGGGGUAGUUUCACAAACACCAGAUAUAGUCUGAUUCUUCCCUCAACUUAUGUCAGUAUUAUGGUUUAAUGAAAUCUCAUUUUCUUAAAAUUUAUUAGGCAUUCUUUGGUGAAAUCCAACUAGUCAACACAUUGUUGUCCAAAGCAGGUUAUCUACAGUACUGGUUUGUUGGCUUUAGCUCUCAGCUAAAGUAUAGAAAUAGGUAUUCAAACAAACCAAUCAAGUACAAAUACACAUAUAACCUAAAUGGACCACAGAGUUUCAACUUUUCUUUCCUUACUGCUUAGUAUGAAAAGAAAAUUAUCAAUGUCCACAUUAAUUAUUCUGCAAUCCACAGCACAAAUUUGUGGCUACAGCCACAAUGUACACAGUAGCAAUUUAGACUUAAAUUACAUAGCAUGAAAAAUUCAGUUUUGUCACAAAAGCCAUACUUCCAAGGCUCAACAGUAACAUAUGUUAGUAGUGACUACCAUAUUAGACAGCAUAGCUAUAGAACAUUUCCAUCAUCAGAGUUAUACUGGCCAGUGCUAAUCUAGAGCACUACCAAACAUACAAAAGAACUAUUUGAGAGACCAACCUAUCAAACCUUAUAAAGACAUCUACAUGUCACUCACUGCAUUUUAUUUAGGGUUGGCUAGACAUCAAGGACUAUACUAGGUGCUUAGGUACAAGACUCAACAAGAACCUGUGCCCUCAAGAAGCUCCAAAUAGUUAGGAGAAUUUAAGCAAGCAAUGACAACAACCUGAUAAGUGCUAUGAUUCAACCUGCUAUGGGAUCAGGAGAAAGCAAUACUAACUUUUUUAUGGGGGAUUCUGGCUUAAAGGAUGACAGAUCACAGAGGAGAUAUUUCAGUCUUCAUGCUCUUUACUUGAAGGGUAAGGACUAUGGAGGGUAGCAUUCCAGAGGGAACCACCCUACAGAGAUCUGAUAAUGUUACUUUGAUUUCGGUAAAUAGCAAUCAACUCAGUGUGACUUGAGCAGAAAAGUACUUUUUGUAG